GGCGCUAUAGCCAAGUGGUUACGGCGACAGAUUAGAAUUGAGUCAGUUUCGAGCUGAGUUGAGGUCAUCUGUUCCUCUUUGAGGGCAGGAGUUCGAAUCUCCUUGGCGUCG